UGACACUGCAGGAUAUGCUGGAUGAACCUUCCAGAGUACUGGUAGGUAUUAACAGAGCCAGUCUUUGGAAUGUUUUAAAACAGCAAAAAAAGCAGUGUUAACGCCCUGCCAAGGUAAGGCUUGUGUUAGGUUACGCUCUGCCUAUCUCUUCCCCUUUUCCCUCUGUGUGUGUUGCUUGUCUACAGCUCAGCUCUUCUCUAGCAAACGGUGUUUGUUGGAUUGAUAAACUGAGGGACCAGGAGAGAACAAAUCUCUAAAUCUACUGCCAGCGUGGAAUCGACUCUUGACUGGAACGCCCAUCACCGAUACCCGUUACAAUAUUCGAGCGCCACAGUAUUCUCAGUUGGUUAGGUUUGUGAGCCNAAAGCGUGGCCCUGGGAAAGCCCAACCGUGGCUCUCGCAUGGGGUCCGACAAGAAGAGAGCCCUCAUCCGUGCCUGCGCUUGUAGCAGCUUUGUCGGGAGACAGCCUUGUUUGUGUCAGAAACAGUUGCAAGGAGCUCUUUUGUCUUGUUUUGUGUGCGCGCGCAUCUGCCGAGCGGUGCAGAAAAUAGCAGCAGGGAGAAGGAUAAGAGGCAGCCGGCGGACAAUCAGGAGAAGGUGNUGGCAGAGGGGGAGAUGGCCAUAAUGCACGCGUCUGCGGCAGUGCAGCUUGGCACCUCCAGCCUUCUGCCUCCCGGAGCAAUAAUUCACUCUGGGAGAGGCCGGCCAGCCCAGCAUCCUUUCUGAGAGCAGCUCUGGCCAUCUCCACACCUCCUUUGUGCCGGAGCGAGAGGGAAGAGUCAGCAAGAAUUCUUUCCCGUCUUCUGGCUGACUUUCCUUCCUCCCAGCGGCUGCAUCCAUGUCCCCUGGGCCCAAUGAACCAGAUCCAGAGGUGCUGCAAAUGGACCCAGCCGUCCUCAUCUUCCUGCUGUANCUCAUGAUCAUCCACGAGUUGGUGAGCGGCUGGAUGGAGUACCAGAAGCAAGCCACGAAACCCAAGAAGCAGUCUGGGCCUCUCUGGUCAUCCAGCCGAUCUUCCCAGCUGAACCACUCGAGCUUUUCUCAACCUCUAGCCUAUCCUUCGCGGCGCGAGCGAUGCAGAGACUGGAGGAAACCGGGCCGGAUCCUCAGGAAAGUGUGACAUGUCUCCUGCCCUCAACCCCAGGCUCAUGCACCGAGGAAGCUUCCGUGCCAACCAGAAAGGAACGUAAUUUCCUUCAUGCAGGAACAAGAAUGGUGGGGUGAUGGACACCAGCUUUUGCCAUGACUUUCGGGGUUCAAUCAUCCUCAGCCAUCCAAGCCCAGGACAAGAAAGGAAGGUGACCAACUUCAGAGGACUGUUGCUGGUAGGAAGGUCCCUCUUGUUUUGGAACGGCCAUUUCUGCCACCCUUGGAGGAACCGUCAGCUGAUGCUAUCAGUUGCCUUUGGCUCUGUGCUUGAGGAAGAGGCGGCAAAAGGCAAAACUGAAACAGUGCUUGAACAGACAUGACCUUUGGAAUAAGAGAGACCUAUAAGAAAAGCUCUAGGAUGCCCGCCACUUAUUUUACCUCUCUUCCCUCCUUUUGCCUUUGUUUUGCCUGCAGCUGACCUNGACUCUGGAUUUGAUGAGCGUGUGGAAUCUUCCUGGGCUAGUUUUGGUUUCCUUCAGUCCCGUUGCCACCUCCAAAGUGAACCUCAAGGUCUUCCCUCUGCAUGCUGAGACAUCUUUCUUGACUGGGGCAUCACUGUGGCCGCUUGGGCCGAGGGACGCGCCACCCUCAUCCCCGGGAAUAGAAAUGGAACAAUCUCCAUGUGGACAGAGCUGCUUGGGGAGAGACUGAUAGCNGGGGGAAGGUGGAAAUCUUCUAAAACUUGAAUCUGCAGACUUGGGUUUCUGCUCUGAAGCACUGUGAAGAUGAGUCCGUUGGCGGCACCUUGAGGUUUCCNUCUGCUAGAUCCCAUACCAUCGGAAGGAGCAUAACACAACAAUAAAUCCAUGUAGAGUGUGGCGCUGCUGGGGUGC
rnacentral:lncRNA from 1 species